rnacentral:rRNA from 1 species
CAGAGAAGUAGCCUACGCAAGGAGGAAGUUCGGAGACAGGUGCUGCAUGGCUGUCGUCAGCUCGUGUCGUGAGAUGUUGGGUUAAGUCCCGCAACGAGCGCAACCCUUAUCUUUAAUUGCCAGCAUUCAGUUGGGCACUUUAAGAGACUGCCGGUGUUAAACCGGAGGAAGGUGGGAUGACGUCAAGUCCUCAUGGCCUUUAUGCUUAGGGCUACACACGUGCUACAAUGGGUGGUACAAAGAGAAGCCAACUCGCGAGAGCGCGCCAAUCUCAAAAAGCCAUCCUCAGUUCGGAUUGGAGUCUGCAACUCGACUCCAUGAAGUUGGAAUCGCUAGUAAUCGCGGAUCAGCAUGCCGCGGUCGAAUACGUUCCCGGGCCUU